GACGAACGCUGGCGGCGUGCUUAACACAUGCAAGUCGAACGAGAAGCUGUAGCAAUACAGUUGUACAGUGGCGAACGGGUGAGUAAUACAUGGGUGACCUACCCUCGAGUGGGGGAUAACCAGACCGGAAAGGUUGGCUAAUACCGCAUACGGUUCCAGUUCUGCGGGACUGGAAGGAAGCUGCCCUGUGAGGGUGGCGCUCUUGGAUGGGCUCAUGUCCUAUCAGCUUGUUGGCGGGGUAACGCCCACCAAGGCUUCGACGGGUAGCUGGUCUGAGAGGACGAUCAGCCACACUGGGACUGAGACACGGCCCAGACUCCUACGGGAGGCAGCAGUGGGAAUCUUGGACAAUGGGCNCAAGCCUGAUCCAGCCAUGCCGCGUGGGU
rnacentral:rRNA from 1 species